CCCGCGCCGUAUUAGCUAGUUGGUGGGGUAACGGCCUACCAAGGCGACGAUACGUAGCCGACCUGAGAGGGUGAUCGGCCACACUGGAACUGAGACACGGUCCAGACUCCUACGGGAGGCAGCAGUAGGGAAUCUUCCGCAAUGGGCGAAAGCCUGACGGAGCAACGCCGCGUGAGUGAUGAAGGUCUUCGGAUCGUAAAGCUCUGUUGUUAGGGAAGAACAAAUGUGUAAGUAACUGUGCACAUCUUGACGGUACCUAACCAGAAAGCCACGGCUAACUACGUGCCAGCAGCCGCGGUAAUACGUAGGUGGCAAGCGUUAUCCGGAAUUAUUGGGCGUAAAGCGCGCGUAGGCGGUUUUUUAAGUCUGAUGUGAAAGCCCACGGCUCAACCGUGGAGGGUCAUUGGAAACUGGAAAACUUGAGUGCAGAAGAGGAAAGUGGAAUUCCAUGUGUAGCGGUGAAAUGCGCAGAGAUAUGGAGGAACACCAGUGGCGAAGGCGGCUUUCUGGUCUGCAACUGACGCUGAUGUGCGAAAGCGUGGGGAUCAAACAGGAUUAGAUACCCUGGUAGUCCACGCCGUAAACGAUGAGUGCUAAGUGUUAGGGGGUUUCCGCCCCUUAGUGCUGCAGCUAACGCAUUAAGCACUCCGCCUGGGGAGUACGGUCGCAAGACUGAAACUCAAAGGAAUUGACGGGGACCCGCACAAGCGGUGGAGCAUGUGGUUUAAUUCGAAGCAACGCGAAGAACCUUACCAAAUCUUGACAUCCUUUGACCGCUCUAGAGAUAGAGUUUUCCUCUUCGGAGGACAAAGUGACAGGUGGUGCAUGGUUGUCGUCAGCUCGUGUCGUGAGAUGUUGGGUUAAGUCCCGCAACGAGCGCAACCCUUGAACUUAGUUGCCAUCAUUCAGUUGGGCACUCUAAGUUGACUGCCGGUGACAAACCGGAGGAAGGUGGGGAUGACGUCAAAUCAUCAUGCCCCUUAUGAUUUGGGCUACACACGUGCUACAAUGGACAAUACAAAGGGCAGCGAAACCGCGAGGUCAAGCAAAUCCCAUAAAGUUGUUCUCAGUUCGGAUUGUAGUCUGCAACUCGACUACAUGAAGCUGGAAUCGCUAGUAAUCGUAGAUCAGCAUGCUACGGUGAAUACGUUCCCGGGUCUUGUACACACCGCCCGUCACACCACGAGAGUUUGUAACACCCGAAGCCGGUGGAGUAACCAUUUUGGAGCUAGCCGUCGAAGGUGGGACAAAUGAUUGGGGUGAAGUCGUAACAAGGUAGCCGUAUCGGAAGGUGCGGCUGGAU
rnacentral:rRNA from 1 species